rnacentral:rRNA from 1 species
GACGAACCGAGCGAACGUUAUUCGGAAUCACUGGGCUUAAAGGGCGCGUAGGCGGAUCAAAAAGUCAGGGGUGAAAUCCCACGGCUUAACCGUGGAAGUGCCUUUGAUACUGUUGAUCUCGAGGGAGGUAGGGGCGUGCGGAACUUCCGGUGGAGCGGUGAAAUGCGUAGAUAUCGGAAGGAACACCGGUGGCGAAAGCGGCGCGCUGGACCUCUUCUGACGCUGAGGCGCGAAAGCCAGGGGAGCAAACGGG